AUGGAUUUUCGGGAAGAGUCGUCUCCCGCUUUAGCCUUCGAGAAGGACGCCUUUCAGCUGACGGUAGAAGAUGUUUAUGACAUUUCUUACGUAAUCGGUCGAGAUUUGUUAAAAAUAAGCAGCACAGGACAGGAAGUGUCGGAUUUACAAUUCAGAAUCGUCCGUGUUUUGGAAAUGCUUGAAAGCCUGGUGAAUAAAUCCAACUUGUCGCUAGAGGAGUUGAAAAUGGAGCGGGACAACCUGAAGAGCGAAGUGGACAGAAUGCUGAGGUCGUGUCCGGAGGGCAUGCAAACGGCGGGACCGAACCAGCUCCUGGUGGACCUGACGGACCCAGACAGGCCACGUUUCACCAUGCAGGAGCUGAAGGAGGUGCUGCAGGAGCGGAACCAGCUGAAGGCUCAGCUCAUGGUGGCUCAGGAGGAGCUUCAGCUGUACAAGAGCGGGAUUCUGCCACAGGCCGAACCAGCACUGGUGGAAGUGGACCUAGAGUCCUCGUCUGCUGCCGACGACAGUGCUGCUGCGAUUAACGAUAAAAGAAACGAGAAAACCACCAUAAGCAAACUCACAUGAUGUAGAAAGCAGCCAAACUUAAUGGAACACUUGUGACCAGAUGAAGUCAUGCUGAGCCUGAGAGCACUGAACAGUGCAUUUGCCAGGAAGGAAUAAUUAGAGUCUGACAAUGACUAGCAAGGUUUUCAUUCAGGCGGAAAUAAAAGGUUUCACAAGACCUGAGCACGUACAAGACAAACAGGAUUUGUCUGCAUGAUUUCCUCUACUGUUAACAAUUUUCAUACAUUUGUCAAAUGAAGCACUAUAUUUUGUAAUUUUAAUGGAAACUGUAUAUUUUUUAACUCCAUUGAUUCACUGUAGUAUAUUGUACAACCUGUGAGAUUAAA